rnacentral:rRNA from 1 species
GCUGGCGGCGUGCUUAACACAUGCAAGUCGAACGAUGAAGCCUGAGCUUGCUAGGUGGAUUAGUGGCGCACGGGUGAGUAAUAUAUAGAUAACGUGCCUCUUAGUCUGGGAUAGCCAUUGGAAACGAUGAUUAAUACUAGAUACUCCUUCUCUUUAUAAUGAGAGUUGGGAAAGUUUUUCGCUAAGAGAUCGGUCUAUAUCCCAUCAGGUAGUUGGUAGUGUAAGAGACUACCAAGCCUAUGACGGGUAGCGGGUUUGAGAGGAUGAUCCGCCACACUGGUACUGAGACACGGWCCAGACUCCUACGGGAGGCAGCAGUGAGGAAUAUUGCACAAUGGAGGAAACUCUGAUGCAGCAACGCCGCGUGGAGGAUGACGCAUUUCGGUGUGUAAACUCCUUUUAUAGGUCAAGAAAAUGACGGUAGCCUAUGAAUAAGCACCGGCUAACUCCGUGCCAGCAGCCGCGGUAAUACGGAGGGUGCAAGCGUUAUUCGGAAUCACUGGGCGUAAAGGACGCGUAGGCGGGAUGCCAAGUCUGAUGUGAAAUCCUAUGGCUUAACCAUAGAACUGCAUUGGAAACUGGUAACCUAGAGUAUGGGAGGGGGAGAUGGAAUUAGUGGUGUAGGGGUAAGAUCCGUAGAUAUCACUAGGAAUACCGAAAGCGAAGGCGAUCUCCUGGAACAAUGACUGACGCUAAGGCGUGAAAGCGUGGGGAGCAAACGGGAUUAGAUACCCGGGUAGUCGACGCCCUAAACGAUGUUCACUAGUCGUCGGAAUGCUAGUCAUUUCGGUGAUGCACGUAACAGAUUGAGUGAACCGCCUGGGGA